CUCUUUGGCAAGAGAGGCAUCCCCAGCCCUUCCUUAAGGUCAAGCCUUAGGGCUGGGGAUAGCUACUCAUGGGUACCAGUGUUGUUAUUAAGGAGUGGCCAAUGGCAGUGUAAUAGGAAUCAUCGGUUAUCCCAGUACUGAAGCAGGAGACUGAAGCAGGAGGCUGAAGCAGGAGGAUCACAUGUUUGAUCCUCAUAGGAUCACAUGAGGCUCCAGUCUCUGCCCUCUGCCAGGAUAUCACACACAUCGUGGCUGACCCUCCUCUGAGCAAGACACCUGGACUUACGACAUCCGUGCACCUUUCUUUCUUGAUCACUUACCCUUCACCCUGGCCACAGUGCUCUUGGAAGUCUCGUCUAAAAGAGGCUGCUGUAGACAUUGCUGGCACCACACGGCAUCUCCUGUGACCAUCACUGUAAAUAGUGGUUACGGGAGUGUGCCUACCUCUCACAGCCCCCUCUCCCCAGAGGCAGGCCCCACAAGGACUUUAUUAAUCUCUGCCAUCCUCUAUGGCUGAUGCCUCAGGCCAGAGAGGGAGGGAAUGGCCCACACAGCUCACUGAAGCCCUUAAUGAUCACGUCAAGUAGCCGGCCAUUUAUUAGUCUCCUUAGUGGAAAGGAAAAAAGCAGAGAAUCUUGAGCAGUUCAGGGGACAGUGGUUUGAUUUUUAUUACACCUGUGCCAAACCUCAGACAUUGAAGGGGAUGCAGCAGGGUAGUGCUCCAAGUGGGGGAAGCACGAGGGCUCUCAGCAAAGUCCUAUGUGCACAGUAGGCAGCAUGUGGUAGGUGCUGCCCAUCAGUCCUUGCCCGGGGCCACGAAGCUUCCCUUUUGCAUGUGUGUUAGCAGAUCCAUGAGAUUCCUUCAGACAGUCUCAGACUCUUCUAUGAAGACAAAUGAGUGAGCAGAAAUGGCAUGUGGACACAGUUUAGGAGGCAAGAUAGGUGUCUAGGUCGGAAGUGGCGGUGCCAGCGUGCGUCACUCCCCCAGACUCACUUUUCUCAUCCACAAAAUGGGCUGAAUCAGAGCCAUCCUUGGGAAUAAAGGACCCUGUGGCCAUCACUGCCUUGAAA